UCCGGUUGAUCCCGCCGGACCUGACUGCUAUCGGAUUGAUACUAAGCCAUGCGAGUCAUUGCAGUAAUGCAAGGCAGACGGCUCAGUAACGCGUAGUCAACCUACCCUAUGGACGGGAAUAACCUCGGGAAACUGAGUAUAAUGCCCGAUAGAACACUAUUCCUGGAAUGGUUUGUGUUCCAAAUGAUUUAUCGCCGUAGGAUGGGACUGCGGCCUAUCAGUUUGUUGGUGAGGUAAUGGCCCACCAAGACUAUUACAGGUACGGGCUCUGAGAGGAGUAGCCCGGAGAUGGGUACUGAGACACGGACCCAGGCCCUAUGGGGCGCAGCAGGCGAGAAAACUUUGCAAUGUGCGAAAGCACGACAAGGUUAAUCCGAGUGGUUUGUGCUAAACGAACCUUUUGACAGUCCU
rnacentral:rRNA from 1 species